UGCUGGGAUUUGAACUCGGGGUCGCAUCUCAGUGACUUGUUCCUCUUGACAACUCAGUCUUGACCGCCUAAAAGUACUUCAACACCAAGACCACCAAGAGGAGAAAGCGAACAACUUAUUUUUUAAGUUAUCUCUGAGUAUUAUGAGAAGCAUCGUUUGGGGGUUGGAAGCCUGAGAGUCAGACUAACAGCAAAUUCCAGGAGAGGCUCCCAUGCUCUGACAGUCAAGUGUUUGAUUAAGCGCCAUAGCUGAGAUGUUCACUUUGCAUUUGGUAAGCUGAAAGCGCAGCCCUCGUGAACCAGCUGGAUGUGGCGGAGAGGUGAUUUGUAUUAUAGUAGCCUGGUAGCUGCCCAAUGAACCAUGUAAAAACAGUUCAUUAAAAUGUUUAUGUGCUUGGCUGGUUAAUGCAAAGAAAGCUUUAUUGCGGCUUUAUACAACCUUGGUAACUUCGGGCUGCCGUUCGAUCAA
rnacentral:lncRNA from 1 species